UCGUACGUCUUAUUGCUGCCGCUGUUGUUCCACGUCGUUUUAGGCGUUGUUUUCUCUAUUGGUCGAUACGAGCACUGAAAAGAAGAUGAUCUUCCUGCACGGUCUGGCUUUAGCCGUAUAUGAAUUUCAGAGAUACCUCAAAUACCGCGGUGAUCAGAGAGUAGAGAUGCUGAAGCGGGAGGCAGAUCAGCAAGCCGCUGAGGCGUACGCCGCCCAAGAAAAACUAAUGGUUGACAAUGCAAUGGAGGCUGACAGAUUGGCCGUAGCU